UGUACAUAUUGAUAUUGUUUCUCAUGAAAAGUCAUUGGAAGUGGUUAUAUGUAGGACUGCUUUCACUAGAAAUAACUAAAAAAUUUUGAAGUAAUUUAAAGAAGGCAUGCAUUAUUUAAACACUUAUUAAAAGUCUGUACACAUUUUAAAUUAAAUAAUGGUCUUUAUUUGUAGGACUCUGAAGAUAUCUUUACCAAGCAAUCUAUCUCUAUUAUUACAGAGGAACCCAAACAACCAUGUCAACAUAGUCAAAGUCAUUUGUCACCCACUGGCCACUAUACUGGGCUAUUGUUACAGUUUGACUUUGCAUCAAAUGUAUCAUGUCAGCAAUCCUUUGUUGUUCAUGAUUAUAAUGCAAACAAAAGAACAAUUAUGCAUAAUUCAUUUGUAUUUGUACAUCGAUAUCCCCACCUAUUGCUUGAUGGCUAUGGUUGGAUAUUGUGCUGCUCAUGUGAUGCAAAUAGAAAGCAAUUUGUUGAUGCCCUACCUAAUAAUAUACAAUUAGAUCCUCAAAAAGAAUCCACAUCCAUGAUGCAGUCUGUUUUCAGUGAUCAUUCCUACCAUGAGAUGCAACCUGAAGAAGACUUGUUUAGUGCAGUGUGCAGGGAGGUUCAGUGGAUUGCUGUAAAACCAGUGAAUAGUCCAUGGGGGGUUUGUACUUUAGUGUAUUCAAAAGUAAUGCCGCCCCAGCCCGAGUUAAAAUGUUGCAGCUAUUCGUCAUAUCAUUGCAUUCAUGUGACAACCCUUGCAAAAGCCAUGCAAAUCGUUGACGAGGAUGAAAUGGAUUCUCCAUUGGCACUUUUUAAGUUUUCCUUUGGAAUUACACCAGAUGCGAGACUAUUUUGAAUUGGCUACACUUAGCAAAGAAAAGGUUUCUUUAUUUGAAACAAGUAUGCAAGAUAAUCUGCAAUGGCAAUGAGAAUGAUGCAAGCGAUUUUACUGAUCUUCCUGAAAAAAAUGGUCAUAAAAUUUUGGCGCCAUCUGAAAGUGGUAUUUGUUCUUGUGGUGCAGAGUGGGAUAAACGUUCUAUUCAAGAUGAAUGGUUGUACGUAGACUUGUGUUCAGUUGCGUACUUUUGUUCAAUCCAUGAUGUGAAGGUGUAUUGUAGACCUUGCUCCUCUUGUGCUACGAAAAAAGCAUUAUGAUGGCAUUGAAAACAGGAUUGUAUGGUUUGGAUCAUAUGCAAUAUCUCAUGCCGAUCUAAAAGAUUACAUUCGGCUUUUCAUAACGGCUUUUCGAGUUUACCUAUGUACAAAUAUUAUGUUGCAUAUGUACAAAGGCAAGUGUCUUCGGGUAGUUUGAAUUUCCCAAAGGAAAUAACUUACGCCAAGUUUCGUCUCGCUAUCAUUGCCAUGAUACGGUUGCUUGAUAUUGAUUUUGACAAUGGGUUUUUUUGUGAAUUAUGUGGAAGAAUUCCCAGAAGGUGGUGAUGGAUGGAACAACUCUUGGAAUACAGAAAACUUUCUUACCAAAUAAUUUAAGAGAGUCUGAUACUGGAUUGCUAGAUUGAAGAUAAGUAUUUUUGAAGUUUAUCUGUAAUAUAUAAUAUAUACAGGUCUGCUAAUUAGUAAAUACGAGUGUUCAUCUACGUA